AGUGAACGCUGGCGGUAGGCCUAACACAUGCAAGUCGAACGGAAGCACAGUAAGAGCUUGCUCUUACGGGUGGCGAGUGGCGGACGGGUGAGGAAUACAUCGGAAUCUACUUUUUCGUGGGGGAUAACGUAGGGAAACUUACGCUAAUACCGCAUACGACCUACGGGUGAAAGCAGUGGAUCUUCGGACCUUGCGCGAUUGUAUGAGCCGAUGUCGGAUUAGCUAGUUGGCGGGGUAAAGGCCCACCAAGGCGACGAUCCGUAGCGGGUCUGAGAGGAUGAUCGGCCACACUGGAACUGAGACACGGUCCAGACUCCUACGGGAGGCAGCAGUGGGGAAUAUUGGGCAAUGGGCGAAAGCCUGAUGCAGCCAUGCCGCGUGAGUGAAGAAGGCCUUCGGGUUGUAAAGCCCUUUUGUUGGGAAAGAACAGCAGCAGGUUAAUCCACCGCUGUUCUGACGGUACCCAAAGAAUAAGCACCGGCUAACUUCGUG
rnacentral:rRNA from 1 species